rnacentral:rRNA from 1 species
AGGGUUCGAUUCUGGCUCAGGAUGAACGCUAGCGGCAGGCUUAACACAUGCAAGUCGAGGGGCAACGCGAGUAGCAAUACUUGGCGGCGACCGGCGCAAGGGUGCGUAACGCGUGAGCAACAUGCCCGUAUCAGGGGGAUAAUCCAGGGAAACUUGGUCUAAUACCCCAUAGUAAUUUUGUAAGGCAUCUUAUAAGAUUUAAAGCUUUGGUGGAUACGGAUUGGCUCGCGUGACAUUAGCUGGAUGGUAAGGUAACGGCUUACCAUGGCUAUGAUGUCUAGGGGUUCUGAGAGGAAGGUCCCCCACACUGGAACUGAGACACGGUCCAGACUCCUACGGGAGGCAGCAGUGAGGAAUAUUGGACAAUGGAUGGAAAUCUGAUCCAGCCAUGCCGCGUGAAAAGGAAGAAGGUCCUAUGGAUUGUAAACUUCUUUUGUAUGGGAGCAAUAAGGCCUACGAGUAGGUUGAUGAGAGUACCAUACGAAUAAGCACCGGCUAACUCCGUGCCAGCCGCCGC